rnacentral:rRNA from 1 species
UGUUAGCGGCGGACGGGUGAGUAACACGUGGGUAACCUGCCUGUAAGACUGGGAUACUCCGGGAAACCGGAGCUAAUACCGGAUAGUUCCCUUGAACCGCAUGGUUCAAGGAUGAAAGACGGUUUCGGCUGUCACUUACAGAUGGACCCGCGGCGCAUUAGCUAGUUGGUGGGGUAAUGGCUCACCAAGGCGACGAUGCGUAGCCGACCUGAGAGGGUGAUCGGCCACACUGGGACUGAGACACGGCCCAGACUCCUACGGGAGGCAGCAGUAGGGAAUCUUCCGCAAUGGACGAAAGUCUGACGGAGCAACGCCGCGUGAGUGAUGAAGGUUUUCGGAUCGUAAAGCUCUGUUGUUAGGGAAGAACAAGUGCGAGAGUAACUGCUCGCACCUUGACGGUACCUAACCAGAAAGCCACGGCUAACUACGUGCCAGCAGCCGCGGUAAUACGUAGGUGGCAAGCGUUGUCCGGAAUUAUUGGGCGUAAAGGGCUCGCAGGCGGUUUCUUAAGUCUGAUGUGAAAGCCCCCGGCUCAACCGGGGAGGGUCAUUGGAAACUGGGAAACUUGAGUGCAGAAGAGGAGAGUGGAAUUCCACGUGUAGCGGUGAAAUGCGUAGAGAUGUGGAGGAACACCAGUGGCGAAGGCGACUCUCUGGUCUGUAACUGACGCUGAGGAGCGAAAGCGUGGGGAGCGAACAGGAUUAGAUACCCUGGUAGUCCACGCCGUAAACGAUGAGUGCUAAGUGUUAGGGGGUUUCCGCCCCUUAGUGCUGCAGCUAACGCAUUAAGC